rnacentral:rRNA from 1 species
ACGUUUUAGGCUUUAUCUAGUAAUAUGGUUAACACUAUAAUUAUGUAGUAAAGUACGGAAUUGCAUGGCUGUCGUCAGUUCGUGCUGUGAAGUUUAGGAUUAAGUUCUUUUUAACGAAUGCAACCCUAUAAAUAAGUCUUUAAUAAGUAUUAAAUGUUUAUACUUAUUAUUCUUGUUUAAUCUAUAUCCGGGUAUAUCGAAGUAAUAUUUUGUAUACCUGAAUAUAGGGGUUUUAGGCUGAAGUCAAGUCCCUAUGGUCUUUAUACGUUGGGCUACACACGUGUUACAAGGGUAAAAACAAAGAGACGCAAUAGAGUAAUCUGGAGCAAAACUCUAAAAAUUACCUCAGUUCAGAUUGUCUCAUGAAAUUCUGAGGCAUGAAGAUGAAAUCGUUAGUAAUUGUAAAUUAAAAUGUUACAGUGAAAUAUUAGUCAAAUUUUGCACACACCGCCCAUCACGCUCGGAAAGUCAAUAUUAGCGGAAGAUUUGAAAAUCUCUACGGAAUAAUAAAUUUAAUAUUAAUUUAUUAGUCAUUAUGUUUUUUUUUAACGCUGUGGAUGGAAAGUAGUAUCUAAUCUAAUAUUGGUAAUCUGAGUGAAGUUGACACAAGG